rnacentral:rRNA from 1 species
UACGUAGGGUGCGAGCGUUAAUCGGAAUUACUGGGCGUAAAGGGUGCGCAGGCGGUUAUAUAAGACAGAUGUGAAAUCCCCGGGCUCAACCUGGGAACUGCGUUUGUGACUGUAUGACUAGAGUACGGUAGAGAGGGGUGGAAUUCCUGGUGUAGCAGUGAAAUGCGUAGAUAUCAGGAGGAACAUCGAUGGCGAAGGCAGCCCCUUGGACCUGUACUGACGCUCAUGCACGAAAGCGUGGGUAGCGAACAGG